AAAAGGGUCAUUUAGGGAUUCAAGAAGCUGCCAUGGUUGAUGAAUCUUUGGUGAUCAUGGACAAAUACUGGAGUCCAUCUUCCAUCGAUCUCAAUUAUCUGCACCACAAUGGAAUUUCCCAAGAGGUAAGCUCAAAUUAAUGCUGUCAUGCUUAGAUUUACUAAUUAGUUCAUAUACAGUAGUUGUUCUAGACAAGUAUAUAUCUGUGUGUAUAUAUAAUAUAUGUAUACAGUACUUUUCAAGAAUCAAUAUGCAAGACAAUUACUUAAUUAAGUAUAAAAGACAGAUUUCUGACCACCCAAAAUAAUCGUUUUCUGCAGCAUCAAAUUGGAGAUUUUCAAUUCUUUGGCAAAUCAUGGGAGAACUAUGACAGUCAAAAUCUGUAUGUUAAUUAGUACAUAUAUAUAUGGUAAUUAUUCUCUUAUAACAUAAAUAUAUGUACUCCUUGUAUAUGCCAAGUGGAUAUAUAUAAACAUUUAUGGCUAUAUAUAUAGGAGAAUGUUUUCUUAGUACUCUUGGAGUGUAACGUAUGUAUAUGUCAAUUGUGGAAGAUUCUUCUUGCUCUUUUUCUCAAUAAUUAAUUGUGUGUUAUUAAUUAUCAUCAAUUAGAUUGAUAAUAUUACUCUAUAUUAUUUCGUCUAAUUUUCUGUCAUAAGAAUAUGUUAAUUUAUGGUAACACAUUAUAUAGCUAGAACAAUCCAAAGUUGUCUGUACAAUGGAUUUCCACAGUAUAUAUAUAUAUUAAUUAUUCAAAUUCUAUCAAUAAUCUCAUUUCUUCUUGACUCAACAUACGUAUGCAUACGAACAGUUUGACACACACAAAAAAAAAAAAAACACACACAUACAUAUCAUUUUUGGUGUGAAUUCAUGUAAUUUUCUUUUAGUUGGCGACUAAUUAUGGUUACUUAAUUUUACUCAAUUUAAUGAAUUAUAACCUUAAUUACGUUUAAUCAUUCUUGAAAGUGGGUUUUGGUGAUUUCGCAAGUAAGUGCAUUGGAGUGGAUAAAUUCAUCGUAAAAAACUUUUAAGAAGUGAUUGAAUAGACCCUUGAGUGAUCCACUAUCCUCUUUUAAGUCUUGUUUUUCCACCUUCAAAAUAAAGUUUUCAAAGUUCAUGCAUUGAAACCCAAGAUGAGUGUUUUCAACAUAUCAAUUUUAAUUUUAAUUUCUGUCUUUUAUAAUUAUGUAUAUAUAUGCAAAAUCUACUUAUAGCACAAGCAUGUCCUCUACAAUUCACUAGCAACUUCUGAGGCCAUAAAGUUCACUAGAAACUUUUGUUAUAGUGGGAGUUCAUGAAAUUCUGAGUCUUUGAAUUGAAUUUACAGUUAGAACUUGGAAAUGGGUUGAUCUUAAUUUUCUUAUAAAUCAAGUAACAUAGCAUAUUGAAAGUUGAAAAUUAGCCAUCUUUAGCACUUCUUUGAUUUAGAUGAAAAAUGAACAUAUUUCUUCCAUAAAUAUACCUUUCUAGCAAAAUAUUUACGCUGUGUGUUAAAAAAAUAUAUAUUUUAAGAUAAUUUUAAAUAAGCUUAAGAAAAUAUAUUUUAAAUUCUACAAUUCAUAUAGAACAAACAUAACUUUGAAUUGCACAAUGAUCAUUUGUUAAUCUCCUCUUAAUUUGUGAUAACCUAAUUCCAUAUGAAAAAUAAAAUAAAAUGGUUACAUUUAAAAACCAAAGAUAAAAGUUUAAGUUCCUAACUGCCAUAUAUACAUAUAUAUUAAAAAAAUUUGAACUUAUAUUUUUGAAUUACUAAUUACUUGAGUUUGGAUUUGUGAGAAUUAAUUGUUUAAAUCAAAAGUUUCAAGAUCAGUAGUGCUUAGAUCAAGUGCAUUGCAAUUGAUGAUUGAGUAUAAGCUAAUUCAAUAAUCCUCUACUAAUGCAUUCCUAAACUUCACCAAUUCAUUCUUAGAACUUGUGAAAAUUUAAUAAUAAUAUGUGACAUUGAUAAAGAUAAGAAGACCGUAUGAUUAUUAUCCUCUAACAAAGACCUAAAGAGACAAGCACACAUAUAUUAAUAAUACCUUGAGGGUUCUUCCUUCAACAAGUGUUGAUUUUUUUUUUUUAUAAAUAAUUUGAAUUUUAAUCUUUGAAAGUUAGUAAUUUAUGUUUGGAAAAUUAUUAAAUUAGUGGUAUUAGAGUUGUGAUAUUAUAAAUGAUAUAGAGUUAGUUUUAUCAUGGUGCCUCCAUAAUGGAUCAUAUUUUACACUUAUAAUUAUAAUUUGUAAAAUAUUGUUAUUUGUCUAGUUUGAAUAAAAAUAUCAGUAAUUUGAGAGGAUGAGAUUUUAUAAUUUACUCUUGUAUUAAAAUAUAUAUGAUUGUUGAGUUUUAUAUAAAAAUUUAAAUUAUAUUAAUAAUAAAUUAUUUAAAUUUUAAAUUUAUUAAAUUAAUAGUGUUUGGUUCUAGGAAUAUUAAUUGUAUAUUUUAUGUGUAUUUUUUAAUAGAACAUGUUUUAUGUGUAUUAUACUUAAGUGCUUCCUGCUUGUAUAUGCUUGUAACAUCCUUCAUACUUUUCCAAAGGGUUUCUCUAGCUUAUAUCUAUUUUUAGAGCAUCUUAAUGAAGAUUGCUAAAAAAACUGUGUAUAUAUAUAUCUCUCUCUCUCUCUCUCAAAAUUGUGAAUGUGAUACAUAUUAUUGUAAAAUAUUGUCCCUUUUAGCAGAAAAAAAAAAAAAUAAUUGAUCCCAAUAUUUUUUUUUUAUGUUUUUUCUCUUUUUAACAAAACAAGAUAACUAGAUAAAUUCAUUUUUGAAAAAUAAAUUUUCCAUGUUUUUGCCACACGUGUGUGUGUGUGUGUGUGUGUGUGUGUGUAUUAUUCCUUUCUAAAACCAUCAUAAACAAGGAGAAAGUUAACUGCAGACCUCAUCUCCUCCUCAUUUACUUUUCUUUAAUGUCUAUCUUUUCCUUUCUCUGCGUUGCCUUUUCUUUCCAGAUUCCAACUCUUACAUAUCAAGCUCUAAUUGCCAUUAGAGUCUAUCUAUAAGAUAAGAAGCGAGUUGGUAUUAAACACAUUAUAAAGAACCAUUACAACGUUAUCUAAUUUGAGGACAAAAGAGAAUGUAAUCUGCACGGUAACAAGCUCAUAGAGCUUUAUUUCCUAAGUGCUCUACUCUAAAAUUAAUAUUAACAAAACUCUGCAGACUAAUUUGGAGUUGCAUGCAUGAACAAAAGCUACUUUUUAAUUUUAGUUAUAUUGGUUAGUAAAUUUCUAUCGAUAACAUAUAAAAACAUAUAAAAUAAAUUGAACCCACAAUUUCUUAUACAGUAAAAAGUGUACCAACAAUUCAGUUAUAAGUUUAUUAAUUACUUUUCUGAAUUAAGCUUAUAACUGAUAUUUAGAACCCACAUGUUCUCCGUAGAAAUUUAUGUUAUAAUGAUAAAUUUGUAAAUAUUAUCUAAUUUAUGAAAUGUAUGUAUUUUUAUUCGAAAAUAAAUCAUAAAAGUAAAAAUAAAUAUUCAUCAUUUUCAGUUGCCGGCUAGUCAUCUAUUCUUGGUGGCAAACCUACUUGUUUAUUGAUCUUGUUAAUUUGCUUGUUGCUGGGUGUGACUGGCAAUGAUUAUUGUGCUCUUACCUAGAAAUUUUCAGCCUAAGCAGUUAAGCUCCAAGGGGCGAUAUUCCGUGGGGUUACAUCAAUAAGCAAUGAAAACAAGAUGCAGUGCAGCAUAUGGCAGCCAAAAAGUGAUUUUAACUACCUUGACAGACAAUGCAGGCCACUAGAUCAUCAAACAAUUUGAUGAGCCUAAUUAAAUCAUUUCAUCGAUCUGUGAAUCAAGUUAGAUUUCUUCUAGUAUGCUAAGGUAUAUGUUAGUCAAAGAUCAACUUGAUGCCAUCUAAUUUAGUUUGUCAUGUCUAAUUUUAGCCCACAAUAAAAAUGCAAAGCAAAAACCUAAUAUUCAAGAGGAACUUGAGGAUAAAAUCUAAAUAUGGUUUGAAGUUAAGCUACUACUAAUAAUCUAUUCUUAAUCUGAAAUUAAAAACCACCACAAGUAUAGAUAUUUUUGCUUUAGAUAUGCUGAAGAUGUUCCGUACUAGUAUAGAUAUAGACAUAUGUGCAUUUAUGUACGUAUGUAUAUAUGUGAAGUCCAGGUCGGCUUUGCUGCACUUCCAUAAAAUUUGAAUUAUAUUUUUAGAUAUAUACAUAUAUAUAAUAUAAUGCUAGAGCUACUCAAGAUUGUGGCCUGAAUUAAAAAAUAUAUAUAUAUAUAUAUAUAUAUCCUCCAAUCAUUGUGGCAAACAAAGAUCAAGGUUAAAAAGCGUGAGGUCCACCAUAAAUUGCUUGUUGCCUCCCAUGUCAGACAUGGAAGGUGAUACUUGUCAUGAUAACAUAUGGCCAUGUUCUACCUGUUUGCAAAGACUCCAUUUAGCUUUCUGGUCCUUUCAUGUUGCGUUAUGUACAGGUGUAUAUAUGCCAGUUAGCGCCUAGUACAAUUCCUCCUAAUUAAGCUCGAUAAUACCUAGAUCACACUUUGUAGCAACCCUCCCAAAUUCUACCCAAUCCUUUAAUGAGCUUACUUAUCGUCAGUUAUAUAUAAAUACAUAUUACCCCAUCUUUCAUACUUUUUGCGUGCUAAACAGGCCGACCUCAAAAAUAUUUGUCUUAGGAAAUGUAUGUGUCUGAAGUCUUAGGAAAUGUAUUAACCUAUGUAUACAUUUAUAUAUUAAGUCUAAGAAAAUGAGCAAGGAACUUAACUUACUAUUAAUGGAGCUGCAAUCAUCACUUGUCAGAGAUAGANNN
rnacentral:lncRNA from 1 species